AACGAACGCUGGCGGCAUGCCUAACACAUGCAAGUCGAACGAGACCUUCGGGUAUAGUGGCGAACGGGUGCGUAACGCGUGGGAACAUGCCCUUCGGUCCGCAAUAACUCUCCGAAAGGGGUGCUAAUACCGGAUAAUGUCUUCGGACCAAGGAUUUAUCGCCUUUGGAUGCGCACGCGUUGGAGUAGCUAGUUGGUAGGGUAAAAGCCUACCAAGGCGAUGAUCCAUAGCUGGUCUGUGAGGAUGAGAAGCCACACUGGGACUGAGAACCGGCCCAGACACUUACGGAUGGCAGCAAUGGGGUAUAUUGUAAAGUGGGUGGAAGCCUGAUACACCAAGGCCGCGUGAAUGAUGCAGGCCUGAGUGUGGUAAAGUGCGUUUACCCGGGAUGAUAAUGACGGUACCGGGAGAAUAAGCUCCGGCUAACUCCGUG
rnacentral:rRNA from 1 species